GUCAAAAUAUUAUUUCCAUUUUAGUGCUUAUGUUCAAAAUACCCAGGUAGUGAGUGGAAUAUAGUUGUGAAGUAAAUAUAGUUUUCCAGAAUGAAAACUAAAGAUUCAAUCAAAGAUAGUGAAAAACAGCACUGAAAUACACAAUUACGACAAAACGUUUGCAUGGAUUGCAAUGAUGGGGCCAUCUUUUCCAUGCUAUGCUUUGCUGAUCCGGAACAGAAUGAUAACCAGAGGCAACGAAUCGAGCAAACAUCGAUUCCAUACCAGCCUAACACGGACGGAUGGGUACGAUGGUGGCUCGGGCAGAAAUUAAACAUAGAAGAUGGACAAACUCAUACCAUCUGGAGCUUCAAUGAAAAAGGGACCAACAUAUGC